AGGAGUUUCGUAUAAAUAACCAAAACUAUAAUAAUUUUUAUAAUGAGUAGUUGGUGAUAAUUUUCAAAUUUCAAUUGCUUCUUCUUGAUGAAAAACCAACCCCUCUACCCUCUCGUUUACUUCAAUCCAUUUUCUCAUUCCCAUUUCUCACCUCAUCUCCGCGUUCAUCCUCCUACCAGUUUUGUAGAUGGGGGAUGAAAGCCCUAAUUACACAGUGGAUGACGCACUUGUGGCCAUGGGAUUUGGAAAUUUCCAAAUUCUUGUGCUUGCUUAUGCUGGGAUGGGCUGGAUUUCAGAAGCAAUGGAAAUGAUGCUUCUCUCUUUCGUAGGACCAGCUGUGCAGUCUGCUUGGGGUCUUUCUUCUCAUGAAGAGAGCCUAAUAACUAGUGUAGUUUUUGCUGGCAUGCUAGUUGGGGCAUAUUCAUGGGGCAUUGUUUCUGAUAACCAUGGUCGAAGGAAGGGAUUCCUCAUCACAGCAGUGGUGACUUCUGCAGCCGGUUUUCUAAGUGCUUUUGCCCCAAAUUAUAUUUCAUUGAUUAUUCUUCGUUGUUUGGUUGGUCUUGGUUUGGGAGGUGGUCCUGUACUCUCAUCUUGGUUUUUAGAGUUCAUUCCUGCUCCAAAUAGAGGCACUUGGAUGGUUAUUUUUUCAGGUUUCUGGACUGUUGGAACGAUUCUUGAGGCUUCACUUGCGUGGUGUGUCAUGCCAACAUUGGGUUGGAGGUGGUUACUUGCACUGUCUGCUCUUCCUUCAUUGCUUCUGCUUAUAUUCUAUAGGGUGACACCCGAGUCACCAAGGUAUUUAUGCCUGAAAGGUAGGACAACCGAGGCACUUAGUGUUUUGGAGAAAAUAGCAAGAAUGAACCGAGCAGAACUACCUCCUGGCAUUCUUGUUUCUGAUCACCAAGUAGGGGUACCUGAGAAUAGUAAUCCAUCAGAAGAUAUGAAGUUGCUCUCACCAGAAGCAGAUUCUGGCUCAAGUCAUAAGGAUAUAGAUUCUAAUAUGGGAGGCAUCUCAUCACUGUUUAUGCUUCUGUCCCCAAAAUUACUCAGAUCGACACUCCUCUUGUGGAUGGUAUUCUUUGGGAAUGCAUUUUCAUAUUAUGGCCUCGUGCUGCUGACCUCUGAGCUGAACAAUGAACAGAAUAAAUGUGGGGUGGCUGAGUUGCAGUCUGAAAAGACCCAGGAUAUUAAUUACAAAGAUGUUUUUAUCACCAGUUUUGCAGAAUUCCCUGGGCUCCUUUUGUCAGCUGCCACAGUAGAUAUACUUGGUCGCAAACUGUCAAUGUCAGCAAUGUUCUUCCUCUGUUGUAUUUUCCUGCUCCCAUUGGUAUUCCAUCAGCCUCAAGGUUUGACAACAGCUCUUCUGUUUGGAGCUCGCAUAUGCAUUACAGUAACCUUUACAGUCGUCUACAUAUAUGCUCCAGAGAUAUACCCAACAUCUGUCAGAACAACAGGCGUUGGAGUUGCAAGCUCAGUUGGAAGGAUUGGUGGGAUGUUAUGCCCUCUUGUUGCAGUUGGUUUGGUGCAUGGAUGCCAUCAAGCUGCUGCAGUCAUUCUCUUUGAAAUUGUAAUCUUUAUUUCUGGGAUCUGCGUAAUACUCUUCCCAUUCGAAACCAAGGGCCGGGAAUUGAAAGAUACUCUAUCUAGCUCAGAACAAGUCAAUUCUAUAUUAUAAACUCAAACAAAGUACACCAGGAGCUCUCCUCCCCCACGUACUCUUAACACAAUAGUUGUUUACAAAAAGUUGAAGAUGAUCUCUUCUGCCUCCCUACUAUAGGUACUUAUGCUUCUUUAGGGGCUACUUGUUCAAUUCGUAUAUCUUCAGGGGUUUCUUGUUCAAUAUGUGCCUCUUCAGGGGCUUUCGACUUUAUUUGUGCCUUUUCGAGGGCUAUAAAUUUAUCAAUUUUAGAUUGAUAAGUCAUUUUGAUGGUCUCUUCUAGAGUGUCAAGUUUUCCUUAUGUUCUCCUCUUCCGAGGAGUUACAUGCUUUGAGUCAACAAGUUUAUCUCACUUCAGGCAUUUCUUAAAUCCAUUUGUUAAUCAUCCUACAGGGACAUCAAUCCAUGCUAGGGUAUUUGUAGCUGAGUUAUGUGACUGUAACUUUCUUUAUAUCAAUGAAUGCAUCUAGUAAUUCAUUUACAAGAUUUUUCAAA